UCUCAUUACACUUUUUUUUCUACCAAUUAAAAUAAUCAUGCUUCUGCAGACACUGAAAAGAGAGGAAAUUUAGCUCAACAACAAGAGCACUAACCUAACCAGCUUGUUGCUUAUCAAGUUAAGAUAUUGAUUAAGGUGUGAAUCCCUAAUCCCCAUAACACCGUAUGGGUUGGGUUCGGAUUAUGCAACAACAACAAAAAAAAAAAAAGCAAAGAAGAAAAGCAACGUGUAGGAGUUGGUGUGGGUGGAAGUGUGAAUGUGGGGCGGAGAUGUGAUCAUCAAUAUUGUGGAGGAAGGAAUAAUGCUUCGGAUCAGCCCAUGAAAAUCAGUAUGCUACGCAAACAUUCUUUUCAAGUCUUCUUCAUUUUGAUUUGGUUUUUGAUUUCAUGAUCUCUCACCUCUGGUUUCUGACCUGUGUUUUUCCCAAAAUUAAGUUAAAAUUAGUUUUA